UACGAGGGGGCGAGCGUUGUUCGGAAUUAUUGGGCGUAAAGGGUGCGUAGGCGGUUUGGUAAGUCUUAUGUGAAAUCUAUGGGCUCAACUCAUAGUCUGCAUGAGAAACUGCCGGGCUUGAGUAUGGGAGAGGUGAGUGGAAUCCGGGUGUAGCGGUGGAAUGCGUAGAGAGUCCGGAAGAACACCGGUGGCGAAGGACGGUCCUGGCCUGGGCCGAAGACUGACGCUGAGGCGCG
rnacentral:rRNA from 1 species